AUGGAUGUGGAUGUCUCAGUGUCCACAGAGCAGAAUACACGAUGGCUUUGCCUACUUGAGAAAUUACUAUCUUGGGCUGGCAAGACUUCUGUGAGGAAAUGCAUGUUAUACAUUAAAUGUGACACAAGAGAGAUGAAUUAUGCAGUAAGCUCCGUGUGUGCUGAUCAGCACAAAGCCCAAGGCACAUUCAGCAGAGUUUCUAUGAAGAUCUGUAAUGAGUUUCAAGUACAUCAUUUCCUGAUGGAGGCUACUCAGCCAAGACAGAAACAAGUCUAUAGUCCUGGAUGACCAAGUUACAAAUGGUAAGUAAUCACAGUGGAUUAUUUUGUAUUUCUACAAAUAAAUAAUGUCUGUUUUUUACA
rnacentral:lncRNA from 1 species